rnacentral:tRNA from 1 species
GGCUCUGUGGCGCAAUGGAUAGCGCAUUGGACUUCUAAUUCAAAGGUUGUGGGUUCGAGUCCCACCAUAGUCG